CCUACGGGUGGCAGCAGUGGGGAAUAUUGCACAAUGGGCGCAAGCCUGAUGCAGCAACGCCGCGUGAGCGAAGAAGGUCUUCGGAUCGUAAAGCUCUGUCCUUGAGGAAGAAGGAAGUGACGGUACUCAAGGAGGAAGCCCCGGCUAACUACGUGCCAGCAGCCGCGGUAAUACGUAGGGGGCAAGCGUUAUCCGGAUUUAUUGGGUUUAAAGGGUGCGUAGGCUGUGAGGUAAGUCAGCGGUGAAAUGCCCCCGCUCAACGGGGUGAAGUGCCAUUGAUACUGCCUUGCUGGAAUGCGGAUGCCGUGGGAGGAAUGUGUGGUGUAGCGGUGAAAUGCAUAGAUAUCACACAGAACACCGAUUGCGAAGGCAUCUCACGAAUCCGCGAUUGACGCUGAUGCACGAAAGCGUGGGUAUCAAACAGGAUUAGAUACCCUAGUAGUC
rnacentral:rRNA from 1 species